rnacentral:rRNA from 1 species
GUAUGAACGCUGGCGGCGUGCUUAACACAUGCAAGUCGAACGGAGCUUAUAUGAUAGAGGAUUCGUCCAAUUGACUAUAAGCUUAGUGGCGCACGAGUGAGUAACACGUGGGAAACUGCCCACCACUGGGGAAUAACGUUUGGAAACGAACGCUAAUACCGCAUACGCCGGAAACGGGAAAGAUUUAUCGGUGGUGGAUGUGCCCGCGUUGGAUUAGCUUGUUGGUGGGGUAAUGGCCUACCAAGGCAAUGAUCCAUAGCUGGUCUGAGAGGACGAUCAGCCACGCUGGAACUGAGACACGGUCCAGACUCCUACGGGAGGCAGCAGUGGGGAAUAUUGCGCAAUGGGGGAAACCCUGACGCAGCAAUGCCGCGUGAAGGAUGAAGGUUUUCGGAUUGUAAACUUCUUUUACUGAGGACGAAACAAAUGACGGUACUCAGAGAAUAAGCCACGGCUAACUACGUG